rnacentral:lncRNA from 1 species
UGGAGACUGCUAUAGCCUGGAUCUAAAGUGUGCCCCGAAGGUGCCUGAGGACUGUGAAGAGCUGAAAUGGGCCCUGGCAGGCAGAGGGGAGAGCCAGGAGAGGCCCCCAGUUCCGCAGCCAGUCUUCCCGGCGAGGCCAGGCAAGCUCCAGACCUGAGUUUCUCCCUCUCAGUUAAUUCCAUGCUGAGGUUCACUUCCAUUUCAGCUGCUUCCCCUCCCAGAGCCUCUCUGCAGGACAUGCCUUUCAAAGGAACCAGCUCAGG